UAACGCGUGGGUAACCUGCCUUGCACUGGGGGAUAACACUUAGAAAUAGGUGCUAAUACCGCAUAAGCGCACGGUCCUGCAUGGGACAGUGUGAAAAACUCCGGUGGUGCAAGAUGGACCCGCGUCUGAUUAGCUGGUUGGCGGGGUAAAGGCCCACCAAGGCGACGAUCAGUAGCCGGCCUGAGAGGGUGGACGGCCACAUUGGGACUGAGACACGGCCCAAACUCCUACGGGAGGCAGCAGUGGGGGAUAUUGGACAAUGGGGGGAACCCUGAUCCAGCGACGCCGCGUGAGUGAAGAAGUAUUUCGGUAUGUAAAGCUCUGUCAGCAGGGAAGAAAGCAAUGACGGUACCUGACCAAGAAGCCCCGGCUAACUACGUGCCAGCAGCCGCGGUAAUACGUAGGGGGCAAGCGUUAUCCGGAAUUACUGGGUGUAAAGGGAGCGUAGACGGCUGUGCAAGUCUGGAGUGAAAGGCGGGGGCCCAACCCCCGGACUGCUCUGGAAACUGUAUGGCUGGAGUGCAGGAGAGGUAAGCGGAAUUCCUAGUGUAGCGGUGAAAUGCGUAGAUAUUAGGAGGGACACCAGUGGCGAAGGCGGCUUACUGGACUGUAACUGACGUUGAGGCUCGAAAGCGUGUGGAGCAAACAGGAUUAGAUACCCUGGUAGUCCACGCCGUAAACGAUGAUUACUAGGUGU
rnacentral:rRNA from 1 species